CGGGAACAACAAAAGCAGGAUUAAAGGCAAGCAUUUCAUUUUCAGCGAAGAAGUUAUCGAUGUUCUUGUUCAACACCAAUCGCCCCACUGGCUGCAGAGGGAAAAUGUCCUCAGGCCAGGUCUUUGUGACAUCAAGGGGAUCAAAAUCGAGCCUGUCUUCUUGAUCUGGGUCCAUGGUCUGAAUGAAUAGCUUCCACUCGGGAUAAUUUCCUGCUGCAAUCGAGUCAUACAGAUCUUGAGUGGCAUGGCUGUGAUUAGUACCUCCUACUCUGAUGGCUUCUUCCUCUAAUAAGUUCUUCACUCCACAAGUAGGCCUCCAGUGAAACUUAACAUAGGUUGCUUUGCCAGCCUUGUUAAGAAGAGUAAAAGUGUGAACUCCAGAGCCAUCCAUGUGCCUGUAAUCUUGUGGAACACCAAUGUCAUCAUAG
rnacentral:lncRNA from 1 species